AUAGUAAAGUCACAGUGCAACAUGAUGCAAUAGUGAGACAAUCUUAUGUGAAUAACUUGGAGCACAACUCAAGUUUGUAAGAAGUGUGUUAGAAUCGCAGAACGAAUGUUUGAGAGAUGCAAUUUGAUCGAAUUCAUUGAAACCUGAGUCAUUGAAACCUGAGUCCAACGUAACUUGGAAAAAACACUUGAGUAGACAUGAAACAUGUAGUUACAACACACUGAAUCGAAAGUUAUGAAAAUUUAAGACUUUGAAGCUUAAAACUCAAGAUUGAUUGUUGACUUGAUUGUAGACACUUCAUAACAUUUGAAAAGUGAUCUGAAGAUUCAAUUCAAUUCAAUUCAAAAAAUAAUUUAUUCCACACAACAUAAUAUUAUUACAAAACAUUGUACCAUCUAACAAUACAAAAAAAUACUAAUGAAAAUUAUAUGUUUUGCUUCAGAUGACAAAAACAUAAAGCGAAAUAAAUAUGAGCACACCUAGGCAUAAGCCCUAUUGGAGUGCACUUCUCUUAAAAUAAAAUAAAUUUAAAGACUAGAGUAGUAGGACCGCUACGCCCUACACAUGAAAUAAACUUUAUUUAUGUGAAAAUAAUUAAUUAUAAAUUUACCAGUGUUACGGUCUUCAUAAUGCGUAUUAUACAGGUCUUCAUAAUCUAUUAUAACAAUUGUAAUGUUAUUGAAUGAAUUUCCAUUGAUUUUCAUGGAAAAAAUUAAGUUAAAUGGAAAAAAUAAUAUAGUAAA